UGGGAUUGAUUCUUCAAAACUCAGGUCAGGAUGGUGCAGAAGACGAGCCUGUUGUCAGAGUGAUGGUGGGGAGCUCAGAGGGUGAGCUUGGCUUCAGGUGUCUGAUAAAGCACCUGACACAUAUAAGGUCUCUAGUAGGGAGUUACUGAGAGAACAUAUGGAGGUGACAGUGACUCUUCCCUGUCCUCCUCUCUGCUGGACCCAUCAUCUGCUGGAGGUGCAUCUAGAGAAGGUGAGAGCCCGCAGAAUCCACAAACUGGUGAUGUUGGGCACUGAAGACAUAGGCUCCACCAGCGUCGUGGGGAAGAAGAGGUUGUAGGGGCCUGUGGCUGCCAGGUAGAGGGUCACGGCGAUGUUGAAGGGCAGGGUGAAGACUGGGAGGUCCCGCUUGCUGAAGAUUGAACCCAAAGCACUGGAGAGGAUGGGGCUGGAGAUGGAAGAGGCCAAGGAUUAAUCACCGUGAUCACCCUUCUUUCAACACCAUCUCAUCAGCUCUGGUCACUAUACCACUCACUAGCCUCUCUUCUUGGCAUAGUCAUUCCUGGCUCCCUUGAGACUCUAGUGGUCCAUUGACCAGGGAGUGGAAAUAAGAUGUUCAAUAUAAGUCAGCAUCUUUGGAAAACAAAAUUAAAAGUCUUAGAACUUUC